UUGCAGCCAGUUAAGCCAAAGGUGCUCUUUUCCCCAUGGGGAGCCAGAGUACAAAGGCUGCAAACAGCAUCCUCAGUAGUGCAUGCAGCUUGUUGCCUGUAUGUGUUGCCCUAAGGAACCUUGGAUACAGCC